AUCAACUUUCGAUGGUAGGAUAGAGGCCUACCAUGGUAGUAACGGGUAACGGGGUGUUAGGGCACGACACCGGAGAGGGAGCCUGAGAAACGGCUACCACAUCCAAGGAUGGCAGCAGGCGCGCAAAUUACCCAAUCCCGAUACGGGGAGGUAGUGACAAUAAAUAACAAUACGGGGUUCUUAUGGAUCUCGUAAUUGGAAUGAGUACAAUUUAAAUCUCUUAACGAGGAACAAUUGGAGGGCAAGUCUGGUGCCAGCAGCCGCGGUAAUUCCAGCUCCAAUAGCGUAUAUUAAAGUUGUUGCAGUUAAAAAGCUCGUAGUUGAAUUUCGGGAUCAAUUUAUCGGUCGUGCCAAUGGUAUGAACUGGUACAAUUGGUUUCUCCCUUCUGACGAAGCAUGAUGUCAUUAAUUUGGUGUCGUGGGGAAUCAGGACUGUUACUUUGAAAAAAUUAGAGUGUUUAAAGCAAGCAUUAGCUUGAAUACAUUAGCAUGGAAUAAUGAAAUAGGACGUUUGAUCCUAUUUCGUUGGUUUCUAGGAUCGACGUAAUGAUUAAUAGGGAUAGUUGGGGGCAUUAGUAUUCAAUUGUCAGAGGUGAAAUUCUUGGAUUUAUUGAAGACUAACUACUGCGAAAGCAUUUGCCAAGGAUGUUUUCAUUAAUCAAGAACGAAAGUUAGGGGAUCGAAGACGAUCAGAUACCGUCGUAGUCUUAACCAUAAACUAUGCCGACUAGGGAUCGGAUGAUGUUAAUUUUUUAAUGACUCAUUCGGCGCCUUACGGGAAACCAAAGUGUUUGGGUUC
rnacentral:rRNA from 1 species